UGGGGAAUCUUAGACGGUGGGCGCCAANNGAUCUAGCGAUGCCGCGUGAGUGACGAAGGCCUUAGGGUCGUAAAGCUCUUUCGCCAGGGAUGAUAAUGACAGUACCUGGUAAAGAAACCCCGGCUAACUCCGUG
rnacentral:rRNA from 1 species